UUAUGCUAUGCGGGAGGUUAGUGGUCUCUUGUACCUGAAAUCCACUAUAGCAGGGCUUAUGCCUUAUUUGAGGAUUAUUUAUUUAGUAUUUAAUAUAUAUGUGUAGUGUUGAAAGACUAAGUCUUACUCGAUAAUAAACCAUGAACCCCGUCAGGUUCGGAAGGAAGCAGCGGUAAGUGGCCACUUAUUAUGUGCUGUAAGGGUGCUUAGCCUGAGCUAUCCUUAUGUAUUAACCUACAUUUUUAAUUCGAUUAUAAGGCGCAUAA
rnacentral:SRP_RNA from 1 species